GAUGAACGCUGGCGGCGUGCCUAAUACAUGCAAGUCGAGCGGUAACACUUCGGGUGACGAGCGGCGGACGGGUGAGUAAUGCAUGGGAACGUACCCCAAAGUGAGGGAUAAGCACCAGAAAUGGUGUCUAAUACCGCAUGUGAUCUUCGGAUGAAAGUCUUCGGACGCUUUGGGAGCGGCCCAUGUCUGAUUAGCUAGUUGGUAGGGUAAAGGCCUACCAAGGCGACGAUCAGUAGCUGGUUUGAGAGGAUGAUCAGCCACACUGGAACUGAGACACGGUCCAGACUCCUACGGGAGGCAGCAGUAGGGAAUUUUCCACAAUGGGGGCAACCCUGAUGGAGCAACGCCGCGUGCAGGAUGAAGGCCUUCGGGUUGUAAACUGCUUUUAUGUGUGAAGAAUAUGACAGUAGUACAUGAAUAAGCAUCGGCUAACUCCGUGCCAGCCGCCGCAGUAAUAC
rnacentral:rRNA from 1 species